CUCCCCUCCUUGCCUACCUGAGAUCUUCUAAAGCUGCAGGUCAGAUGCCACAGUAUCCUGGAAGCAUGGUAGGACAGAUGCCACCCGCUGGUACAACACUGGCAGCAGCAUGACUGUGCUCGGGAUCCAGAGCGGUGACAUGUUCAAAUUCAGAAGAUGAGAGCAUUCAAGUUAUGAACAUGCCAAAGCGUUGACUGGGAUGGACCUGGAAAGGCUAAUAAUUUCUGUGUUUUUUCUUCUCCAUGAUGCUCUCUGCUCUUCAGGGGUCUGACUAAUAGUAGAAGUGCUACAACACUUUCCGCUGUCUUAGACCGUGUAUUUGCAGCCAAGUGAUGUCAAUCCAAAAGGUUUACAUAAGUAUAAUAAGCAUCCAAAUUUCUGCACUGGACCUCUAUCCAUUAUUUGUUGAUCAUUACUAUGAAGAUCCUUUUCGGGGACCCAGUUCUGCAAAUGGUUAAGUGCGUGAGCAGCUUUCUCAGAUUUAUUGACUCAUGGUCAUUUGCAGGAUCAGAAUAUGGAAUAUUUGUUUUCUAUUCAAUAAAUCUCCCGCUUAAGUUACGUCUUCGUGGCUCCAGGAAAAGACUUCAGUCAUUUAAGAUGAAUGUCUUGAACUCUUCUCAGUGUUGAGAAUCCAUUCUCGGACAAGGAGGCAACAAGCACAUGGGAGAGAAGUCAGAACAAGAGUUUAGCUAGUCCUUAACCUUAGAGAGGGCUGUCUAAUUGUUGCAAUUUACGUAAAAUCAUGAAAUGAUCAUGCCUUCCCCAGGUACAACCCAUUGAAGUUUGUGCUGCAGACUGGUCUCAAGGAGCUCCAGCUGGGCUUCUGCUAGGCAAGCCCAUGAGGAGAGGUGCUGCCCAGCAGCACUCCUGGUGCAUGCCACCUCCUCAUGGGCACCCAGCCAGCCUGGGGCCAGACUGAAGGGAGCCUCGAGCAGCUGUGUGUUGAGGCUGGGUCCUCAGCACCAACUCACUCCAGAGAUCUGCUCCAACUGCAUCAUAUUGCUUGUUGAUACAGGCAAAGCUGUGGCCUUCCCCAAAACCCAUCUUGGUGAUGAAGCUCAAAGUUUUGAAAAUUGCUGAAUGUUCCUCAGGAUAACUGCAAACAGCAAAAGGGAAGCAAGGAAAGAGAAGUUAGGAAAUCUUGUUUGGAUAAAGGCAGCAGAGCCCUUACCUUUCACCCACUUUGUAGCUGAACUUUUCAUACAGUUUAGAGAAAAGACUUAACCUCAUCUUCCUCUAACCUCCUCCCAUACCGCCUCCAUCUCUGGCAGCCUCCUCUGGCUCCUCAUUGUACUGCUGUUUGCAGAACCUCUUGCAGCACCCUGGGCAAGUACACAGCAUUUGAGGGUAUUUCUGAUCCAUUUGGAGACCCUAGAGCUGCUUCUUUCAGUGUUCCCUAGGUGAUCCACCUUGGCUGGGUUCCCUCUACUUGAUAAGAAGACAACAGAAAUACUUGGACCACAGAAAUGAGGGGUAAAGCCUUACCAUAGUGAAGUUAAUAGGAGGUUUUCCUUCACCUUCGACUGGAUGAGAUUUUGCCUGAGAGCUACUUGCCUUUAGCAUCAACGUGAGUGAGCAGUGUGCAGCCACAAAACUUUCAACUGGUUACAAAACUGAACUCAGAAAGAAGAGUUCAGGGCCUAGUCCUGCAGCUCUUCCCCAUUGCUUAGGGAAUGGAUUUAGAAGGUCUUGUAUGACAAGGAAAAUCAAAAGAGUCCUGAAAUUGUGCAUGGUGGCAUCACAAGUGCAUGAGGACAAUUGCUGGGAAUUUGGAAACCUGCACUAUAGUGGGAGAACAGCAUCUGUCAUGUCUUUGUUGCAUUUAGGAUAAGUCAGCCUGUACGCACCAACAGCUGUUUGUGUGAUACUCAGAUAUCACAGCAUUCUCAACCUACUCCCUUCUCUGGGUUAUGGAGAGGGCACUGCCAACACCUCAGAAAUCCCCUCUUGUCGGAAGAUAACUUUUGAGGUAGAGAUGUUUUAAAAAUAACUCCAAAGACAACAAACACAUGAAGGCUAAAGGACAAAUGGGAGGAUGACUGCCGAUUUCACAUUUCUCUCCGUACUUCAGAAUCCAAAUGCUGUAAGGUUUGUUUCCAGUUUCAGACUUCAAUUAUUGUUUUUUUUUCUUGACUGAGGAUGAAUGAUGAAAAACAAGAAACUAGUAAUAAUGUUCUACAUCUGUUUGGCAAACAGUUUCUCGUUCUUGCUUUUAGCAUGUUCAACAGCUCUAUGUCUCUGCUGAUCUGAGAAUAUUUAGUGAGCAGCAAGGGUGAAAUAUAUUGACUUCUCAGUGGCUAUAUUAAAAUUGCAAUGAGAAAAACAGAAGAGAGAGAAAACUUCAAAGUUCUACUUCUUGUAUGGCUUGGCACGUUCUUCUUUAUUUAUUAUCUGUACUGGUAUAGUGCCUGCAUCAGGCAGCAGUAGCCUGCUGUGCUUUGGAAAAUGUGUAACAAAAGUAUCCUGCCCAUGGACCUGCCAAGCAAAGUCAGAGAGACUGCAGGGAGCGUAAAAGUCAUAGAAUUGAAGUGAUACGCAACCAGGAGAAAGAUAAGCUUUAGGUCAAGUCUGUGGAGGAGAGAGAGUGGGAUCUUUGUUUCCAGAUGACAAAGCUGUAGGAGGUGGCAUGCAGUGGAAGCUGUUUUCAACACUGAUUUCCUUUAUCACAUUAAACAAUAACUUUUGUUCUCAACAUCUUUUUCUACUCUGGUGGUGGUUUCCUUUUGGAAGCAAAUUGCUCAGCUGGUGUACAAUCCAAGGGCCCAUUUCUCAUACUAACGUUGUGCACACAGAAGGGCCAAGUGGGAGAGGUCCAUCCAGCCCCACAGGAACUGUCAGAAUCUGACAUUCUUUUCUGACCAGAAAAGAAGAAAUGUUGAAGCCCUGGAAAAAAAAAAAAAUUAUGCGCAGCAAAUCCAAAGGAAAUGAACAUUUCAGACUGGGUGAGCAGAUGCCUUAUUUUCCAAACGUUUAUUUUGAUUUUGACCUUUUAAAAAUGUUUCCAAAUUCUUUUUUUUUUUCUUUUUCUCAAAUAACUUCCCAAACCUUUCAAACGGAAAUGCCAUUAUGAAUAUUAGAAAGUAAAUCCUUGGCAUGCUGGAGUGGCCAAAUAUUCCAGCUAUACCCAGACUUUCCUUUUUGCACCAUGAUGCUGCAAGGGUGUGGGAGUUUGGUGCACCAACAGCUCCUUGUUGAGACACAGGAGAGGACGAAGUGGUGGGGACUCUACCCGUGGCAUGGGGCUGGGGCUAGGCUGCUGCUGGAUGCUCCUGCAGAGGCCCUGAGGACCUGCACUUGCUACUAAGCUGUCUCCCACUCUAUGUAGAAGGUACCUGCAAGUGAGGUUUUGACUUAAAGCCAUGUGUACUUGUCUGUACAUGUCAGCUGAGACAGCUGGAGGUACUUAUGGUCCUCAGUAGUCUCAUUUCAUGCCUGACCUAUCACAGUUUGCUUCUGACCAGACCAAUCCUUCUUAAAAGACAGGUAUUGCCUCCUGUCCCUUUCAGCCAUGACCCAGAUAUUCACUUGGUGAGGAGAUGGGUGCUCUCUGCAUGCUCUGCUCAUGCUGACUGGCUACUUCAUAAUGUGAGAAAAAAAAAUGGCAGGAGAGCAUGGAGAGUGUGGACCUCUCCAUGCGUGGAAAGGACCGUAGUUCUUGGGGAAAAGCAGAUAUCUAAUAGAUUUUAGUGGUAUGAAAGAUUUUUGGAGCUCAUCACAAGAUGGGACUCCUUGGCUUUAGGACUGUAUCUUAAACUGAUAUAACGAAUUUCAAUUUUGUUGACUUGCCUAUCAGAAACAAUGAUUCUCUAGCUCUUUGUCUCUGGAGCACAACUCAUGACAGCCAGAAGGCCCUCAGCUGAAAUGCACCACAUUAUGAGCACCUUCCAGGCAUCUCACAUCUGAGUUCCCAAAAUGUCUCUAAAUCCUUCCAAGCCAGACUCCCUUGCUCAGUGGUUUUGGCUGCUAUGGGGAAUUUAUGGCUUUAAUUUUGAUGGAGCCUGAGUUAUGCCAUCAAUCAAAGGAAUAUUUUUCUUACGCACUCACAAGGGGAAAAAAAAAUAGUUUAGUUUCAGGGGAUAACAUGUUAAAUAGGGAAAGUUUUGUGACUGGGAAAGCAAUCUUUUAAAGCACCCAAUCUUUAUCACAAUAUUCUGCCCUUCUGAAAAGAUGAGGACAGAAAUGGCAGAAUGUAUCCCAUGAAGAGCUACUGGCUCAGAGGUGUUUAUUACUAUUUCAUUAUUAUUAUUAUUAAUAUUAAUCUUGAUUACCGACAUGUCAAUGCCAGAGGGACUAGGCCUAUCUCUGCUAGUUAAUGGGAAAAACUCAAAUCAGCCAGAGGAGAAUGGGACCUAACUGUAAUUAGCAGUUUUUGCAGCUCAUUAUCUUUUUCUCUAAAAUCAUAAGACAGUAUUCCUCAUAAUUAUUUUUGCAUCCAGGAAACACUAUCUCUGUUGCUUCUGCCAGUAGAAAAUGCAGAUCUUUGUGUUCUUUUUACUCCUGUGCUACAAGAAAAAGGACAUGGGUGAAUAUGAAACCUCCAAGUGAAGCUUGGAGUGUGGUCAGAGUGUGGUCAGCUUCCCCUGAGUUGCUCCAAACAACUGGAGAGUGAGCAGAAGCCUUGGAGAAAAGACAAGCCAGGACAUGAAGGUCUGUAGCUAGUCGAUCUGGGCACUACUUCCUCCAUUUCCUGCUCCCCAGCAAUAGUCAGUCCUUGAUGUCCAUGUGCACCACUGCUACCUCUACUGUUGAAGCCUGAGUUUGGAUACAGCGGUGAGGAGCUGGUGACUGGGAUGGAGAUGACGGUGACAAACCCAUGCCCUCGGGGUGCCUUCAUUGCUCAUUUCAGGCAUCUUUGAUGACCUCAAGCUCGGGGUCUGCUUGGAAAGGGAGAAGAUAAAUACUGCCCUUGCAGCAUAUGGGGAAUCAGAUGGGCAUUUCUAGCCCAGUUUCACAGCUGGGACAUAAUUUUUUGCUACCCUCCACCUUGCUCUCAGCCUUUACAGGGCAGAAAGGGAAACACAAAGAAAGAGAAGGGCAGAUAUUCCUAAGACUUUCAAAGGUGUCGGACAGUAGCUGUCCUAAGGCCACACAGGGUUUAUUCCUGUCACACUACAUCCAAAGCAACAUUUGUUAUAAGCUUGUAAACACUACCGUGGUUAAAAAUAGUGAGGGGUACUGUGUGGGGCAGAGAGUACAGAGCUAUGGGGUGCCUGUACCCCAACAGAGUUUGUAAAACAGCCUGAAGGGCUAAUAGCUAUCACAGACAAAUGACAGCAAUCUAAAGGCUGCCUGCCUUGUUCGGACCAGUUCUAGAUCCAGUAUAGCCAGCAAUGGAGAUGGGAAGAACACAAAAAAAUCACACAUCUCCUUUUAACCCUUUCCCAGUUGAUUUUACAUAGAACCUAGUUUUGCUGGCUAGCAGGAUGUUGGUAUGGGGUGCAGAGCCAUAACAACGUAUGCUGGUUUCAAAUCCGUCUGCAGGAAGACUGAUUUGACCUCAGUUUCCAGUUUGUUGUUCAGCACCCUGGUUUGAAGACACCCUGCUUGUUGGAUGCCACGUGCUGGAUCCAGAGUGGGUCCCUAGGCCAGAGCAGGAGUUGGGGCUGUUUGCAUUUGCCUUUGACCUUUUUGGAAAUACCUAAAUCAUUUUGUCAGGACAGUACCUCUGAUAAAAGCAGAUUUUAUUCACGAUCGCAAUGGCGGGUGUCCUGCAAGCAGGAGCGCAUCUAUGGG
rnacentral:lncRNA from 1 species